rnacentral:rRNA from 1 species
GAUGAACGCUGGCGGCGUGCUUAACACAUGCAAGUCGAACGAAGCACUUUAUUUGAUUUCCUUCGGGACUGAUUAUUUUGUGACUGAGUGGCGGACGGGUGAGUAACGCGUGGGUAACCUGCCUUGUACAGGGGGAUAACAGUUGGAAACGGCUGCUAAUACCGCAUAAGCGCACAGCAUCGCAUGAUGCAGUGUGAAAAACUCCGGUGGUAUAAGAUGGACCCGCGUUGGAUUAGCUAGUUGGUGAGGUAACGGCCCACCAAGGCGACGAUCCAUAGCCGACCUGAGAGGGUGACCGGCCACAUUGGGACUGAGACACGGCCCAAACUCCUACGGGAGGCAGCAGUGGGGAAUAUUGCACAAUGGGCGAAAGCCUGAUGCAGCGACGCCGCGUGAGCGAAGAAGUAUUUCGGUAUGUAAAGCUCUAUCAGCAGGGAAGAUAAUGACGGUACCUGACUAAGAAGCACCGGCUA